UCGCCGCCGCCACCCCUCUGUUCUUCGUCGGCGUUCGACAUGCUCCGGCGAGACUCCAGCCGAGAGUCUCUCCAUCUCCCUCACCCUGCAUAUUGAUACCUAUAUAGAGAAAGCUGACCACACCCCCUUCUUCCCUCCUUCCUCGACUUGAAGCUGACGCCGUCGACGCCUCGCCGGCACCUCGCUAUCGUCACGUCGGAGCUUGGAGAACCCCUACGACCACCCACCCAAGCUGCGCCCCUCGCGCGACGUCAGUGCUCGACCCGUUUUGGGCCGCUGCUCUUGUUGCAGCCGCCGCGGCCCCGACCGCCGGACCUCCGAUAGCCUUCCCCUGCGGGCUUUGCUCUUGGCCGAAGCACCGUCCCGGCCAUCCGGUCCAGUGACUAUCCGCUGGUGAGCACGGCACUUCUUGGCGUUGGUGUUAACCCGUGCUCCCCUGAAUUUCAAGUAACGUUACCCCGAACCACUGUUUUCAAUAGUGCCCACCAUGUGUUCGAUAAAAUAACUGUUUAUCACUUCUGCUUCUUCGAGCAAUCUGAUGGUCGGAUUUCGCAUGUCUUGGGAGCACGGCGAUCAGCGCGCCUUCAUCUACAUGGUGCUCACAUCGUUGGUGCAUUCUAAGUGUAUUGUGGAGUCGCGAACUCGUUCGGUACUCGAAACUUAACUCGUAUAGCUUAUUUUCACUCUCUACUGGCCAACAAUCGUCGUUGCGACUUCAGUGCUAGUUCGCUGCAGCGAGAGGCGCGUCUUCGAGCCCCCAUCCACCAUUAGUCGACUCCUGGUUCGAGUAAAUUUGGUGACGGUUAGAUACACUGAUUGAGUCGAGGACUCAGGUACUUGGUGAGUGAGUGCAGCUUCCCCUCAUCAGCUGGUUGCCCCACUGGGAAACAUAUUUAUAUGUUUCUCACCCCACUGUUUUUACAAGUAUCGCUGACAGUGCAGGUCGGGGCUCGGUGGGAGGACGCAGUAAGUUAGCGCCUAAAUAGCUUGUGCUAUGAAUCUCGAUUUCUAGUUUCAGAUUUGACGUAUCUCAGUAGCUUGUGAUCUGGUUGUAGUUAUGUGAUAUCAUAUGUAUUCGGAGUUUUGUUGCCUUUCGGUUUUUCCUAAUGUAGUGGUUUAGUCAAUUCUGAAUUUUGGUUUUGGAGUGAUUUGUAGUUGUAUAAUUAAACUAUCUUGUUCUGCUUGAUUGUGAUUCUGUAUUUGUACUCUUACGCCGUGCAUGUACAGGGGAGACUUUGUCCAUGUGGGCAGGGGAUGCCCUAUGCGUGUGGCGGGU